rnacentral:rRNA from 1 species
UACGAAGGGGGCUAGCGUUGCUCGGAAUCACUGGGCGUAAAGGGUGCGUAGGCGGGUCUUUUAAGUCAGGGGUGAAAUCCUGGAGCUCAACUCCAGAACUGCCUUUGAUACUGAAGAUCUUGAGUUCGGGAGAGGUGAGUGGAACUGCGAGUGUAGAGGUGAAAUUCGUAGAUAUUCGCAAGAACACCAGUGGCGAAGGCGGCUCACUGGCCCGGUACUGACGCUGAGGUGCGAAAGCGUGGG